UACGAAGGGGGCUAGCGUUGCUCGGAAUCGCUGGGCGUAAAGCGCACGUAGGCGGAUCUUUAAGUCAGGGGUGAAAUCCCGGAGCUCAACUCCGGAACUGCCUUUGAUACUGAGGGUCUCGAGUUCGGGAGAGGUGAGUGGAACUGCGAGUGUAGAGGUGAAAUUCGUAGAUAUUCGCAAGAACACCAGUGGCGAAGGCGGCUCACUGGCCCGAUACUGACGCUGAGGUGCGAAAGCGUGGGGAGCAAACAGG
rnacentral:rRNA from 1 species